AUCAAAUAAAAUAGGAGAGGUUUCUCUUUGUCUUUUCGUUCUUCCUUUUUGCCCAUUCCUUCUCUUUCUUUUUUGCUUUCCUUCUCUUUUCUCU
rnacentral:ribozyme from 1 species